GACGUAGGGCGCGAGCGUUGUCCGGAUUUAUUGGGCGUAAAGAGCUCGUAGGCGGCUUGUCGCGUCGACCGUGAAAACUUGGGGCUCAACCCCAAGCCUGCGGUCGAUACGGGCAGGCUAGAGUUCGGUAGGGGAGACUGGAAUUCCUGGUAUAGCGGUGAAAUGCGCAGAUAUCAGGAGGAACACCGGUGGCGAAGGCGGGUCUCUGGGCCGAUACUGACGCUGAGGAGCGAAAGCGUGGGGAGCGAACAGG
rnacentral:rRNA from 1 species